CGUUGUUUUCCACGGAGAGGGUGGAUCUGUCCUCCACGACCUCCUAAACCACACUGAGGAGAUCACAGAAGAACAGCCUCUGGAGGAUUUGAUUGACAACCCCCUUUUUAGCCAAUGGGAAAACCCAAAGCUGCGGAUUGGCUCAAGGAGCAGCACCGGGAGGCCCUCCCACUUGACCAAGUUUACCUUUUUCCCCACCAGUGAUUCCUCACUGUUCUGUGACACACCACUGGGAGACGCUGUUCCCUUGGAUUGGACUCGCAGCAUCUCUGUCCACACCGACUAAAAGACAGGCACAUUCCUGGGGCCCACUGUGAGUGUAUAGCCCUCAUACAGAUGGGCCUUGAGAGCCACCCUGUCCGAGCAGGAAUGAGUCCAGAUGGCUGGAUCCUGCUGUGAGGGGCUGCGGAUGGAGUGAGUACUGGUCUGUGCGGCUCAGACCAAGUCUGACUGGACCCUUUUCACAUGGAGGGCCCCCAGCAUUCCCCCAGUACCACCCUACGGCUCUCGAGUUACAGCCAGGGCAAGGACAUUCACGUCGCUCCUGUUAUUCUUACUGGGUAUUAAUCUGGUUGUAUAGGGAGCAGUGUUCAGUGAAACAGUAAUAUUGAUGGCUUGUCUGGUGGGUGAGCAAAUCACAUGAGCAUGAUUGACUAUAUAUUUACAAAGUGUUUUUUAGGAAGUCAUUUCCACAUGUGAUGCAGGCGACACACUGCAGUAAUACCACAUACUCCUGCCACCACUGCGGGAGUCCUCGGCAUCUUCAUUAGCUCCACACAGACUUCAGAUCACAUUCAGAGUCACAUACUGAAUCGAUCUGCUGAGACAGGCUCCGGUGCAGUUUAUGUCUUCUGUGUGUAUCCAGCGGUGGCAGAGAGAAAAGUCACUCUUCAUGAGAAACAGAGGACAUAGGACAUCAGACCUGGAUUCGCUUGCAGAAAUCUGUCUCGUGUUUCAGAGCACUUAUGGUGUCCCAGAUACUUUUCUCCGUGUUAUUCUAUACUUUGUUCUGGCACGGAGCGCUGAAGGGGGUUAGUUAUAUGUUCUGUGUCAAUAAAGUCACUGGGAACUAAUACAAUAGGAAUUUAUCUUCAGGGUAUUUGUUUCACUACUUGUCAUCAAGAUUUCAGUGAUUAACUGAAUUUUCGAAUCAUUCAUGUUGAUUUUUAGA